rnacentral:rRNA from 1 species
AUUGAACGCUGGCGGCAUGCCUUACACAUGCAAGUCGAACGGUAACGGGCCUUCGGGUGCCGACGAGUGGCGAACGGGUGCGUAAUACAUCGGAACGUGCCCGAUCGUGGGGGAUAACGAGGCGAAAGCUUUGCUAAUACCGCAUACGAUCUACGGAUGAAAGCAGGGGACCGCAAGGCCUUGCGCGGACGGAGCGGCCGAUGGCAGAUUAGGUAGUUGGUGGGAUAAAAGCUUACCAAGCCGACGAUCUGUAGCUGGUCUGAGAGGAUGAUCAGCCACACUGGGACUGAGACACGGCCCAGACUCCUACGGGAGGCAGCUGUGGGGAAUUUUGGACAAUGGGCGCAAGCCUGAUCCAGCCAUGCCGCGUGAAGGAUGAAGGCCUUCGGGUUGUAAACUGCUUUUGUACGGAACGAAAAGCCUUCUUUUAAUACAGGAGGGUCAUGACGGUACCGGAAGAAUAAGCACCGGCUAACUACGUG